rnacentral:rRNA from 1 species
GACGAACGCUGGCGGCGUGCUUAACACAUGCAAGUCGAACGGAAAGGCCCUGCUUUUGUGGGGUGCUCGAGUGGCGAACGGGUGAGUAACACGUGAGUAACCUGCCCUUGACUUUGGGAUAACUUCAGGAAACUGGGGCUAAUACCGGAUAGGAGCUCCUGCUGCAUGGUGGGGGUUGGAAAGUUUCGGCGGUUGGGGAUGGACUCGCGGCUUAUCAGCUUGUUGGUGGGGUAGUGGCUUACCAAGGCUUUGACGGGUAGCCGGCCUGAGAGGGUGACCGGCCACAUUGGGACUGAGAUACGGCGCAGACGCCUACGGGAGGCAGCAGUGGGGAAUAUGGCACAAUGGGCGGAAGCCUGAUGCAGCAACGCCGCGUGCGGGAUGACGGCCUUCGGGUUGUAAACCGCUUUCGCCUGUGACGAAGCGUGAGUGACGGUAAUGGGUAAAGAAGCACCAGCUAACUACGUG